AACGAACGCUGGCGGCAUGCCUAACACAUGCAAGUCGAACGAGACCUUCGGGUCUAGUGGCGCACGGGUGCGUAACGCGUGGGAAUCUGCCCUUUGCUUCGGAAUAACAGUUAGAAAUGACUGCUAAUACCGGAUGAUGUCUUCGGACCAAAGAUUUAUCGGCAAAGGAUGAGCCCGCGUAGGAUUAGGUAGUUGGUGGGGUAAAGGCCUACCAAGCCGACGAUCCUUAGCUGGUCUGAGAGGAUGAUCAGCCACACUGGGACUGAGACACGGCCCAGACUCCUACGGGAGGCAGCAGUGGGGAAUAUUGGACAAUGGGCGCAAGCCUGAUCCAGCAAUGCCGCGUGAGUGAUGAAGGCCUUCGGGUCGUAAAGCUCUUUUACCAGGGAUGAUAAUGACAGUACCUGGAGAAUAAGCUCCGGCUAACUCCGUGCCAGCAGCCGCGGUAAU
rnacentral:rRNA from 1 species